rnacentral:rRNA from 1 species
CUGCAGGGCGCUCCAGUGAGGAAUAUUGCACAAUGGGGGGAACCCUGAUGCAGCAACGCCGCGUGGAGGAUGACGCAUUUCGGUGUGUAAACUCCUUUUAUAUGUCAAGAAAAUGACGGUAGCAUAUGAAUAAGCACCGGCUAACUCCGUGCCAGCAGCCGCGGUAAUACGGAGGGUGCAAGCGUUACUCGGAAUCACUGGGCGUAAAGGACGCGUAGGCGGGUUGGAAAGUCAGGUGUGAAAUCCUACAGCUUAACUGUAGAACUGCACUUGAAACUUCUAAUCUAGAGUAUGGGAGGGGGAGAUGGAAUUAGUGGUGUAGGGGUAAAAUCCGUAGAUAUCACUAGGAAUACCUAAAGCGAAGGCGAUCUCCUGGAACAUUACUGACGCUAAGGCGUGAAAGCGUGGGGAGCAAACAGGAUUAGAUACCCUCGUAGUC